UCAGGCGAGGCCACCCGCCGAGUUUAAGCAUAUAAAUAAGCGGAGGAGAAGAAACUUACAAGGAUUCCCCUAGUAACGGCGAGUGAACCGGGAUCAGCCCAGCUUGAGAAUUUGACGGUUGAAACCGUUCGAAUUGUAGUCUGGAGAAGCGUC
rnacentral:rRNA from 1 species